rnacentral:tRNA from 1 species
GCUGGGGUAGUUCAGUUGGUUAGAACGCUGGAUUGUGGAUCCAGAGGUCGGGAGUUCGAGUCUCCCCCCCAGUA